rnacentral:rRNA from 1 species
UUCAGUACAAAUAAUAUGCUGCCUCAGUAAGCAUCUAGUUAAUGGGGCGAAACGUGUGUCUAUUGUUGCAGCAGUACAAGGAUUUUCCUGGGUAAGAUAUCUAUUCUGCUGGUAUUUUCUUUUUGCGUGUAGUGCUAAUUUCACAUUAAUACACCCUAUGCUCACUGUUUAAUUGGGGCGAUAAACUGUGUGAAAUUGUUAUCAUCAGU